GCAAGUCGAACGAAGUAGCAAUACUUAGUGGCAGACGGGUGAGUAACAUGUAGGUAUCUGCCCUUUGGCCUGGAAUAACACGAGGAAACUUGUGCUAAUACCGGAUAAGUCUUUACGGAGAAAGCUUUAUGCACCAUUGGAUGAGCCUGCACUUGAUUAGUUUGUUGGUGGGGUAAUGGCCUACCAAGACUGUGAUCAAUAGCUGAUUUGAGAGGAUGAUCAGCCACAUUGGGACUGAGACACGGCCCAAACUCCUACGGGAGGCAGCAGUGGGGAAUCUUGCACAAUGGAGGAAACUCUGAUGCAGCGAUGCCGCGUGAGUGAAGAAGGCCUUUGGGUUGUAAAGCUCUUUCGUCGGGGAAGAAAAUGACUGUACCCGAAUAAGAAGGUCCGGCUAACUUCGUGCCAGCAGCCGCGGUAAUACGAAGGGACCUAGCGUAGUUCGGAAUUACUGGGCUUAAAGAGUUCGUAGGUGGUUGAAAAAGUUGGUGGUGAAAUCCCAGAGCUUAACUCUGGAACUGCCAUCAAAACUUUUCAGCUAGAGUAUGAUAGAGGAAAGCAGAAUUUCUAGUGUAGAGGUGAAAUUCGUAGAUAUUAGAAAGAAUACCAAUUGCGAAGGCAGCUUUCUGGAUCAUUACUGACACUGAGGAACGAAAGCAUGGGUAGCGAAGAGGAUUAGAUACCCUCGUAGUCCAUGCCGUAAACGAUGUGUGUUAGACGUUUGGAAAAUUUAUUUUCAGUGUCGCGGCGAAAGCGAUAAACACACCGCCUGGGGAGUACGACCGCAAGGUUUAAAACUCAAAUGAAUUGACGGGGACCCGCACAAGUAGUGGGAGCAUGUGGUUUAAUUCGAAAGAUACGCGCAGAACCUUUACCAACACUUGACAUGUUCGUCGCGACUUUAAGCGAUUUAAAGUUUUCGGUUCGGUCGG
rnacentral:rRNA from 1 species